AAGAAGAAGAAGAAGAAGAAGAAGAAGAAGAAGAAGAGCAAUCGGAGGUUUCGCGGCCGUUGGGGCGCCUUUCCAAAUAUUUCAUUUUCAUCGCAACCGUGCCGAUUUCUGUCCCCUUUCAUGAGGUGACCCAGCCAGCCAGCGCACCCUGAUGUUUCCCACACGUUAGCGGGUGUCCUGGCGGUUAGCAUCUCCAAGACUCAUCGCUGGAACCAAAGUAUUUGGUUGGAGCCACUUGUUGGCCUGACACGCAGAAAGAUGGAGGAGGCCUCGGCGGCGACGGAGAAUGUCGUGUUUCGAGGGGCCGAGUUCGCCGUCAAGGUGGAGGCGGACGCGGGCGCGCUGCUGGUGGAAAUCUCCGAUUCAAAGACGGCGGAUCAGUGGAAGGGAGAAUUUGAUCCGGCGUACAUUGAAGAUCUCACCCGCAAAACUGGCAACUUCAAGCAGUUUCCCAUCUUUUGUAGCAUGUUGGAGUCCGCCGUGAGAAAGACGAGCGAUUGUGUCACUCUGGACCUGCUGACCUACGCCGACCUGGAGCUGCUUCGGAACCGAAAAGCGGGCGUGGUGGGUCGCCCCCGAGGCCGCCCGCAGUCGUCCGCUCUCACCGCCAAACGCUACCUCAUCCUCAUCUACACGGUGGAAUUUGACAGGAUCCACUACCCUCUGCCGCUGCCGUACGUCGGCAAGCCGGACCCGGCCGCCCUCCAAAAGGAAAUCAGGACCCUCAGGGCGGAGCUGAGCGCGCUCACUUCUCACGGCGUCGGCAAGGCUGCGGAGCUGGAAAUCCAGCGCUUACGGGCAGAGCUGGCUGUGACGAAGGAGGAGAAAGAGGCCAUCGCCAAGGUCCUGGAGCGACUGCAGCUGGCCACGAGCGCCUCCGCCCCCGGCGGCCGUCUGGACCGGAGGGCUUGGGACGGGGCGACGACCUCGGAGGAGGAGAAGGCCAAGAGUCGGCGCUCGGCCGCCAAACGGUGCCAGGAGCAGCGUCUCCUCGUGGAGCAGCUGGACGAGCUGAGGGCCUCCGAGUGCGCGCUGCGCCUUCGCGUCAACAGUCUCACCGACGAAGUGGCGCUUCUCCGCAGAGGGUCAGCGAGCAAAGGGACGCCCGUGUCCGGACGCGGGGAGAUCUGCCGCCUCCGCGACGCAGUCAGGGGGCGCUCGGGAUCCAGAGAGCGCAGAGCGGAAAGAGGACGACGGGCCGACUCCGCGGGGCCGCGGAGGUCGUCGCCGUCGCCCGCUGGGUCGCGAGCGGCUCGCUUCGACCCGACCGCUUACGUCCAGGACCGACAGCGCCGGCUGAGAGAAUCUGAACUCAAAAAACAGUUAAAGGUGCGGCGAGACUUGGCGGUGGCGCCCGAGCGAGGGCGUUCCCGCUCCAGAGAGAUUUGCCCGCAGUUGAGUGGCUCCGGCAGUCGAGGUCGAAGUUUGUCCGUGGAGCGGCGGGGGAGCAGGAACUCCUCGGAGAGCUCCUUGGCCGAUCCGGAGGAAACGAGCAAGGCACUGCGCAGGGGAAGGAAACAGACGUCGAACGGCCCCAGCGUGUGGUCAACGUGUCCGAAACCGUCAACAGUCCCGAGGAAGCCUGUUGGCCCGGAAGCCCUUGAGCAGCACCCCGACAUACAGGACCAAGGACAGAGAGCGCUCCAUGGACACGGGCGCCGAGCUGUUGGAGAUCGACGCCAGACUUCAGGCCCUGCAGGACUACAUGAGGGACUUGGACACGGGACGCUGACAGAUGGCCGAGCGUGCGGCAGCUCCAACAACAUUUGCAGCUUGAGGUUUAUUCAUCAUUUCUCACCACGGGCCCCCCAACAAACUUUAGUGGAAUGAAGUUGUGUGCCUGCAUACGUUGGUAUGCUUUCUCUCGGCUGCCAACCGGUUGCCCCUUCCUCCUUCCCCCGCGAUGCCUUUCGCUUCUCUUCACAUAGUCGCCCGACGCCAAAGGAAUAAAACCGAAAUAAUGUGUGAAGAACCACAACUGAAAUGGGCACACUGACCAUCUACUUGGUGAGGCUUGAGGUGGGUCACUAAGUUCCUGUGCACCUGGACUAGAGGUGUCCU